CCUACGGGAGACAGCAGUGGGGAAUAUUGCACAAUGGGGGAAACCCUGAUGCAGCGACGCCGCGUGAGUGAAGAAGUAAUUCGUUACGUAAAGCUCUAUCAGCAGGGAAGAAACACUGACCUUACGGUCAGCAGACGGUACCUGAGUAAGAAGCUCCGGCUAACUACGUGCCAGCAGCCGCGGUAAUACGUAGGGGGCAAGCGUUAUCCGGAUUUACUGGGUGUAAAGGGAGCGUAGACGGUGCUCCAAGUCUGGAGUGAAAUGCCGCAGCUUAACUGCGGAACUGCUUUGGAAACUGGCGAACUAGGGUGCGGGAGGGGUAAGCGGAAUUCCUAGUGUAGCGGUGAAAUGCGUAGAUAUUAAGAGGAACACCGGUGGCGAAGGCGGCUUACUGGACCGUAACUGACGUUGAGGCUCGAAAGCGUGGGGAGCGAACAGGAUUAGAUACCCGAGUAGUC
rnacentral:rRNA from 1 species